rnacentral:rRNA from 1 species
AUUGAACGCUGGCGGCAGGCCUAACACAUGCAAGUCGAACGAGUGGCGGACGGGUGAGUAAUGUCUGAGAAACUGCCAGAUGGAGGGGGAUAACUACUGGAAACGGUAGCUAAUACCGCAUACCAUCAUAUGUGCCCAGAUGGGAUUAGCUAGUGGGUGGGGUAACGGCUCACCAAGGCGACGAUCCCUAGCUGGUCUGAGAGGGUGACCAGCCACAAUGGAACUGAGACACGGUGCAGACUCCUACGGGAGGCAGCAGUGGGGAAUAUUGCACAAUGGGCGCAAGCCUGAAGCAGCCAUGCCGCGUGUAUGAAGAAGGCCUUCGGGUUGUAAAGUACUUUCAGCGGGGAGGCGUUACCCGCAGAAGAAGCACCGGCUAACUCCGUGCCAGCAGCCGCGGUAAUUC